rnacentral:rRNA from 1 species
UACGUAGGGUCCGAGCGUUGUCCGGAUUUACUGGGCGUAAAGAGCUCGUAGGCGGCUUGUCGCGUUGUUCGUGAAAACUCGCAGCUCAACUGCGGGCGUGCGGGCGAUACGGGCAGGCUAGAGUACUGCAGGGGAGACUGGAAUUCCUGGUGUAGCGGUGAAAUGCGCAGAUAUCAGGAGGAACACCGGUGGCGAAGGCGGGUCUCUGGGCAGUUACUGACGCUGAGGAGCGAAAGCGUGGGGAGCGAACAGG